rnacentral:rRNA from 1 species
GUAGGGAGCAAGCGUUGUUCGGAAUUAUUGGGCGUAAAGAGCGCGUAGGCGGCCAGGUAAGUCUGGUGUGAAAUCCCACAGCUCAACUGUGGAACUGCAUUGGAAACUGCUUGGCUAGAGUGCGGGAGAGGAGAGUGGAAUUCCCAGUGUAGAGGUGAAAUUCGUAGAUAUUGGGAGGAACACCAGUGGCGAAGGCGGCUCUCUGGACCGCAACUGACGCUGAGGCGCGAAAGCUAGGGGAGCGAACGGGAUUAGAUACCCCGGUAGUCCUAGCCGUAAACGAUGGGCACUAGGUGUAGGAGGUAUCGACCCCUUCUGUGCCGUAGCUAACGCAUUAAGUGCCCCCCGCCUGGGAGUACGGUCGCAAGACUA